rnacentral:lncRNA from 1 species
ACUACCACUUGCUUUUGGAUGAGUCCACGAAGUUAGAAUGGAAUUGUUCUCUUUUUUGAAAGUGGCUUUCCAUAUCAGUAGAGCAUUUGCUUCUGCAAAAGAAGCAGAAGCAGGUUUAAGACAAACAAAGAAGAGAAAAGGUAGGAACAAGAAAAAUGUAAAAAUGGGGUACUUCAACAUGUUUAGUAAACUGGGAUUUAGUCUGUGUUUGGAUUAUUUUAGAUGCUAUGAAACUGUAAUUUAUAGAUGCAAGUAAUGGGGUAGAAUUUCAAGUCCACUCCCUAAGUCCAUUCUUGCUGGAAGACAGCAUUCUAUUACCAAAGACUUUUGGAGUGUUAAGAACCUCUGAAGUCAUUGUCUGUCUUCAAUGAGCAGAGAAAAAAAAUGCAAAUCCAGGUCUUUAUCGGUUAUUUUUGUCAAAAUUGGCAGCAACUCAUUUAUUUCGUCUAAAACAAUGAAAAAGAAAGUUAGCUACUUCAUAUUGUUUAUAGUUCUCACCAUUAGGGUCAUUAGAUGUUCCUGCAACCUCAAAACGUAACAGAACCUCAGCCAAAUAAUUAUCACCAAUUUAUUUAUUUAUUUUUAACUCGAGAUUUCUUUGGAGGAGAUUGAAUUCCAAGUUUGGUCAUAAUAUCAUUUUCUACAUGACAGGAAAAAGAAAAAGAAGCUGUUUUUGAGCCCCUGUUUGGACUCCAUUAAAAUGACGGUAGUUUUUUGUAGAGAAAAACUCCGUACAUCUAUACAGGGCAAUCAAACAAGAAGGAAAAAGUUAUUUAAAAUACCCCGAAAAAUCCUUAUAAAAAGAAAGCUAUCGUACAUCCCGUGAAAGUGGCAAUCGGCAAGCGAGGGUCACUUGUGGGAAACGGAAUAGAGGAUGACUGAAUCAUACUGCAAUUUCAUCCCUACAAGAGGCAAUCAAACAGGAAAUGAACAAAGCACUUCAACAGUUACCAAACCAUUCAUCAAAACCAGCAGCAUCAGUUUCUAUAUCUACGAGCAAGAAGAGCUAUCACUUCCCAGCUACAGCCACGACCUCAUGUGCUGUAACAUAAUGCAACCGACAUCAGCUUAUUGCUACGCAUCCUAUUGCAAAGGCUAGAUCACUACUGUUGAAUGUUAACAAAUCAUCAAAUAUAAAUCAAGUCUCAUUUCCUUUGUAUUUUAAUCGGAGAUCUAAAUAGCAAUUUAAUCAAGUAAAAGAUGGAUUUUUCUUCCUAACCAAUUAAGUACACGUGUGAUUGGACUAUUUUAAAUAAUGGAACGUUUUCUUCUCUUUUUAAAAGGCGCAAUUUUUAAAUCAACGUACGUUUAUUACAAUUUACCAUAUUCGCGAAUGACAGCUGAACCUUGUGCAUUUACCUUUGGUCUCUUGGAAUGAAAAACGUAAACAAAUUUUCCAUAUUGAAUAUGGAAACAAGUCAUCAGCAGUUGUACCUAAAAAUAAGCCAACAAAAACCAAAUAAAAAAUUAAACGUCUCCUUCAAUUAGCAACAAAAAUUCACACAAUGGGUGAAAUAAGGGUAAAGGGGAGAUGUACUUACGGAAAAACAUGUCUCCUUCAAUUACUGUUUUGGACUUUUGGCCAUUGCAGGAAACCAUGUUCAGACUAUAAAAUGAAGGAAAUAACUGCCAGUGGCAUAGUCAGAUCCAAGGGAGAAAAUGGAGCAUCAGAAUCUGAGGAUACUGAGCAGAACUCGGCGAACAAACAGGAUUAUGAACGUACCAGGUAUUUGUUUAAUAUUCUCCGGUUAACCUUAAUUUUAUUAUACAAUUCCAUAUUAUGAGUUUGGAACAUUUAUUACCUACCUUAUGAUGGGUUGAAUUGUUAUUACUUAUUAGCAAGCAUUCGCGGGAAUCAGUCACAAUUCUUUUGGUGAAUAAGAAAUAGUUUCUCCCAAGAAGCCAACUAGUCUGACUAAGUGGCAAAGCAGCGGGAGUUAAGUGGAAAUCUGGAAAGUGAGUCUGAGGCAAUGUUGAAGAAACAAAUUUCCGACAGCAAGAGGAAGGAGCUCGGUGGACAUGAUAUUUUUGCCCUACGACCUGAAAUUCAAUCACUCACCUUGUCUGCUUGCGCUUUAGAUUCCCUGACUUUUAAUAAACAAUUCUUAUUUCUUCUUAACAUAGAUUAGGUCGAAAAUAUAUUGAAUGUUAAAAUUCUAAUAAAAAAAAAAAAUUGUUUAUUUUUUUUAUUUUUUAUUUUUUUUAAACUUGCGGAGCUCCCUUGUUUUUGUAAAUAAUUUUAAAACUUCAAAAAUAAGUUAGAAAUUUAUCGGAGGAAAAAUAGUACAACAAACAACUUUUAAAUAAAAUAAUUUUUGAAAUCAGAAUUUACAUUUCAGUAUUAAAAAAUUCACACAAUGGGUGAAAUAAGGGUAAAGGGGAGAUGUACUUACGGAAAAACAUGUCUCCUUCAAUUACUGUUUUGGGCUUUUGGCCAUUGCAGGAAACCAUGUUCAGACUAUAAAAUGAAGGAAAUAACUGCCAGUGGCAUAUUCAGAUCCAAGGGAGAAAAUGGAGCAUCAGAAGCUGAGGAUACUGAGCAGAACUCGGCGAACAAACAGGAUUAUGAACGUACCAGGUAUUUGUUUAAUGUUCUCCGGUUAACCUUAAUUUUAUUAUACAAUUCUAUAUUAUGAGUUUGGAAGAUUUAUUACCUACCUUAUGAUGGGUUGAAUUGUUAUUACUUAUUAGCAAGCAUUCGCGGGAAUCAGUCACAAUUCUUUUGGUGAAGAAGAAACAGUUUUUCCCGAGAAGCCAACUAGUCUGACUAAGUGGCAAAGCAGCGGGAGUUAAGUGGAAAUCCGGAAAGUGAGUCUGAGGCAAUGUUGAAGAAACAAAUUUCCGAUGGCAAGAGGAAGGAGCUCGGUGGACAUGAUAUUUUUGCCCCACGACCUGAAAUUCAAUCACUCACCUUGUCUGCCUGCGCUUUAGAUUCCCUGACUUUUAAUAAACAAUUCUUAUUCCUUCUUAACAUAGAUUAGGUCGAAAAUAUAUUGACUGUUAAAAUUCUAAUAAAAAAAAAAAAAUUUGUUUAUUUUGUUUAUUUUUUAUUUUUUUUAAACUUGCGGAGCUCCCUUGUUUUUGUAAAUAAUUUUAAAACUUCAAAAAUAAGUUACAAAUUUAUCGGAGGAAAAAUAGUACAACAAACAACUUUUAAAUAAAAUAAUUUUUGAAAUCAGAAUUUACAUUUCAGUAUUAAAUAUUUUCAAAAUAAAUAUUUUUAGAAAUUUUUCAGACAUUAAAUUUCAUUACAAAUUUAAACUUCAGGGUUAAAUAUUUUUGAAAUAAAUGUAGGUUAGGUAGACAUUAAAAGAAAACGGAAAGUGAAAUAGAAAAAGAGAGAACCAUAAAUGCGGUUCUCUAAAUUUAAAAUGUUGAAAAUGGAAAAUAGAGAACCACACAUGCGGUUUCUCUUUGAUAUUUUUGCAUUAGAAGAAAAUGGAAAAGAAAGAACCACACAUGCAAAUCUCUAUCGUAUUUUUCAAUUAAAGAAAAUGGAGAAGAAAGAACCACACAUGCGAAUCUCCGUCGUAUUUUUCAAUUAAAAGAAAAUGAAAGUAAAAUAAAAUUUUUAUUACCUGUGACGCUCCCUUGUUUUUAUAAAUAAAUUAAAUACUUUGGAAAUAAAUUAUUAGAAAUUUAUCGAACCAGAAAGUUUGUUGCGAGGUAGGGACGAAAAAUAUAAAUGGCUCAAUUCACCUAAGGAAGUUGGGAUGGGACCUGGGAGAUUAUUUCUCCUCAAGUUUAGUCCCUAACUCUAAAGAAAUUGAAACAGAAACUUUAUUAUCAAAGAUGCUUAGAAUAAUUGCAUGCGUUGCUUCUCCUAACGAAGCUGGAAUUGGAUCUAUAAGAUUAUUUGUCCCUAAACUUAGGCUCUGAAGUGAUUUUAGCUUUUUUCUAGCUCAGAGGGAAUUGAACCAUAAAGUUGAUUUUUGAAAAGGUGCAAAACUUGAAGCUGAUUCAAGUUUCAGACAGUCGGGGAUAUGGCAGCUAUAACGCAACAUACUUGUUUUCGGUGAUUAUCAUAUCUACCUGGAUUAAUUUUAUUUAUGUUACAUUUAUUGUUUCAUUAGUAUAAUUAUUUUCAUCGUGACUUAUAAUUAUCUAUUUUAUGGAGGAAUGUUCUUUGGACGCCCUAAACAACCAACGUGUCUAUUAAUUUAAGUUUAAUAAAUUUAUAGUUAUAGUAAGCUUAGAUUAAAUUAUACAAUAUAUCGUUUUUACCAUGCACUUUUAACUUGACUUACUUUUAGAUUGAGCCUAGACGCCAAGUUGAAAAUUUCUUUAUUAAUAAGUACAUUUGUGGGUAAAUUAAUUGAAAGAUAAUAAUUGAAUAAAAUGAUGAGAAUUUAGUAAGCUAAUGGAACCAAUUUAAGGCUUAAAUAAGUUAAUAGGAAUAAAUAAAAGAUCCCAAUAGUUAAUUGGUACACAUUAUACCUAAUUAGAUGUCAUUAAAUUUAGGAGUCAAGAUUUUUGCCUUAUUACACUUUCUUGGUAAAUUAAGUCGAUACUUUCUUCCCUGCCUAAUAUCGGACUGUUGGCCGCCAUUUGGGAUUUGAAUAGACUGCUUUCAAUAUGGUAUGAUUAUGAUUUACUUUGAAUAAUGGUUGACUUUGUGUUUACUGCAAUUUUGGAGGAAUAAUAUGAGUUGUGGUCUACUGAAAAUUUUCAUACAGACACGCAAGUGACAGUGGACAUAUACACACACACCCAUAUGCUUCAUUACGUUGUUCAUUACACCGGCCUUCUAUUUUGUUACUAAACAUUGUUCUUAGUUCGAUGGUUGUAAGAAAUUAAUUGAAUGUGUUAAUUUUAGAAAGAAAAGUAAUACAUCUUGCACCUUUCUUGCUCUCUUUCGUCCCCCACCCCCCUCUCACAUCCAUUGAUAACAUCUUAAAAGAAAAUAUUAUUUUUUAUCUUACAAAUUCUACCAGUUAGCACUUUGUUCGGCUUUAGCAGCUGUUUCAACUUCUAAAAUUAUAUAUGAGCUUUGGCAAGCUUGUUUACACAUAAAUUAUUGAUGGCAACCAUAACGAAUAAUUUACCUUAAAAGAAUAAGAAUGUAGAUUGACUUUUAAGACAAAUAUUGUUGAAAUUUUAAGUGAAUAUUAAUGACAAUCAAGUGAAUAUUAAUGACCUAGAAUGAUUGGCACGUAGACUUUGUGGGAGGCUAAGGACAUCUCCACUUGUCAUUCUAAAAGUAAAUUGCUAAAGAUUUCAAGCAAGUAAACCUCCCAUUAUUUUUAUGCAUACAUCAUGUGGUUAAAUGUAUAAACGUUUGCUUAAAUUGUUCUUACAUGAACAUGAUAUUUGAUCAUAACUUUUUAUUUCAUGAAUACUUCUCAUGACAUAUUUAUACAUAUCAGUGCAUUCAUAAGCAUACAUGAAGUUUCAUGAAAUAAAAAGAUUUCAAAUGUCAAUAAGUUGAGGAAUACUUCAAAAAGAUAUGUAUUUCGAAUGUGUUUAUUAUGAGGUGUAUGUCAAUGCCAUGAAAGGCGUGAGUGGGAAAUGGAGCGUGGGGGAUCGACGCACCCAACCAGUGUUCAAUGAUAAUGUUAAUACUAAUCGUUUUACGGUAUUAUAGGUAGGACGAAUUGAGUUUCAAAUGAUAAUUGCCCACUGCAUUCUCAUUGACUGGGCAAUACAUCAAGUGAGCUCACAUGUCAAUGUUAAUGUUUUUAAAGAAAUGAAUGAGAAAGGGGAUACAUAUUGAGAUACUUUCACUUUAUAAUAAUUCAUACGCAUAUCAUAAGCAUAUAUCAUAUGCAUGAUGUUUGCUUAUUGAGCGAUAGCCUAUUCCACGUUAUCCCUCCCCAUUUUCAAAUGAUAAAGACAAGAUAAUUCGGGACGACAACUUGAGGUGAGACAGACUCAAUACUAAUAUAGCCCUUAUUUGAGCCUCAUUCUUCUAAAAAUUCAUUUUUCCAAAACUCAUUUCCAACCACACAUUUUUCAACAAAAUAAUAUUACAUGUAAAUUAAUCCAAAACUUGUCCUUAAUUUUAACCACACAUUCUCCAUCAAUCUACUAUUCAAAAUGUAUUAUUUUCCUCCAAAUGGGGCUCAAACAAGGUCAUAAUUUAAAUAUUGAUUUCUUUUUGAAAUGAAGUUAAGUUUUAAUUAAUUGUCUUAUAUUUCAUUAAGUACAAAUUAUUUUCAUAAAUAAAGUUAUAGAUGUCAAUAACGUUAUAAAAAAUUAAAUUCGUCCUUUCGCAUUUAUGAUUUUAAGAAAAAAUUAAAUGAUAAUACUUCCAAAUUUAAGUAUCUAGAUUUGGAGGAGUUAUAGCACCUGUCAUCAAGUUAGUGUCCAUGUCAACUUGUACAAGAUUGAUGAAAUUUCCCAUUUUAACAGGUACCGAUCCAAAAUGCCGAUUGUUGAUUAGAUUUAUAUAAACAAGUCUUGGAGAGACGAGAAUGGAAAUUUACAGUGGGUGGCAUAAAUACUUGCAUUUGUGAGGUUUAGCUAUGAACACUUCCAUAGAUGCAAGAAACUUCAUACCAAUUGCAAGGAUUGGCAGUUGCUUUUGGAUGGCUUGAAAAAUUGGUGGAAUUAUGGGGCUCAAAAGUCCAUGAAUUUAGUAGUGAAUUGUAGGGAUUUUCAAAACUGGUUUUCCAUUUCAGUAGAGCAUUUGCUUCAACAGCAGAUCCAGAAGCAGGUUUAGGAUAAAUAAAGGAGAUAAUUUGUAACGAUACUACAAACUCGAUAUCAUCUAAACAACACAAUGAAUCAUAUAUCAAAGGAUAGAAAUCUUUCCACAUCUUAAAACAAUUUAAAGCCAAAAUAUUAUAAGUCAAAGGAAAAGUGUUUCCAUUUCAUAUGACUUUCUGCAAGGUAGUUUUGCCAUAUCCACUACUUCUAGUACAAAAUAACAAUAUUCAUAGUAAACAAUAAACAAGGAAAAGUUUGAUGCCUAAUUUUAUUGGAAAUAGCAGAAAUACAUCAAAGGAACAAAAAUACAUAAAAACAAUUGGCAUCAUUUGCAAACUUUCAAAAUUCAUGCUUUUAAGAAAUCACUGAGAUGGUGGUGGAUGCACUAAGCAUAUCAGAAACAACGUCCAUGGUUGGACGAAAUUGUGGAUUAGAGUGAAUGCAUUUAGUUGCAAGUUUAACAACGAACAUCAAAAUCUCCUCUUCUUCGAGGUUGGGAUAAAGAAUGCGCGGAUCCAAAAAAUCCUUAAACUGUAAUUCUCCAUGUCUGAGACUGUCACCAGGACGAUUUCCUUUGAUCACUUCCAAAGCCAACACUCCAAAGCUGUACACAUCACACUUUUCUGUCACUUUCAUUGUGUAAGCAAGCUCUGCCAAAACAUCAGUGAACAAAUACAAUUAAAAUCAUGUAUGAACAAUCCGUGGAUGAUAUAUAUGAAAAAAGAAAAAAUAUUACCCGGUGCAACAUAACCAUAUGUGCCUGCAAGAGCGCUCAAAUUCGAUGAGUCGCAUUUCAAAAACUUAGCAGUUCCAAAAUCUAAAAUAUGUGCCUCGUACUCUGUAUCAAGCAAAAUGUUGUUGCUUGAGAUAUCUCGAUGAACAAUUGGAGGAGAACAACUAUGAUGCAUGUAAGACAAAGCAUGAGCCACACCCUUCAAAAUAUUUACCCUUUUCGGCCAAUCCAAUGUCUUAGCUUCUUCAUCUAUACUUAGAGUUUUGGCAAGACUACCUCUGUCAAAGUAUUGAUAGACCAAAAACGAGUGUUGAGCAUUUGAGCAGAAACCAUAAAGUUUCACAAUGUUCCGGUGCUUGAUUCCUGUCAGUGCUCUUAUUUCGCUUAAAAACGCUCUACGAUUUGCCAUUUCAGACAAUGAAUGAAUUCUUUUCACUGCUACUAUAUCUUGUGAUGGAAGCUUCGCCUUGUAAACCCUUCCACAUCCACCCUCUCCAAUGCAAAAUGCUGCAUCAAAUUCUUUGGUGGCCUCUAAUAUGUCUUUAUACAUGACUACUCCAUCAAAAGAUGAUAUGAAAAGCAAAUCAUCUUCUACAUCUAUUGAAUUCCUCUUUCUGCGAUCAUACAUGAUCAGGAUGCCAACGAGUGCAAAUAGAAGUAGAGGUACCCCAAGAAGGGGAAUUGCAACUAUCAAAAUGAGUUUAAGACCGUUCCCUGUCUUGUGGUUUUCAACAGGAGGAGGAACUUUGCAUGGUUUCAAUCCUACAAUAUCACCGCACAACCCUUUAUUCCCUCGUAGUUUUUCUAUGGACACAUUCUGAAAGGGCUUGCCAUUAGGAAUUUGGCCCUCCAACUCAUUAUAGGAUAUAUCGAUGUCCACCGAGCCAGGCAAUUUUUGAAAACUCUUAGGAAUGAAUCCAGAGAGGUGAUUGUGAGAGAGGUUUAACAUUCCCAAGCUUGACAAAAAUCCUAUUUCAGAUGGUAUUUCUCCAGUAAGUGAAUUACUGCUCAUAUCCAAUGCAGACAAAUGAGUUAACUUACCAAUCUGAACAGGGAUUGUUUGGCUUAAAAAAUUGUAGCUCAAAUUCAAGUGAAACAACUGCUCAGAAUUUGGAAAAUUUUUAGGUAUUGGACCUGUCAGUCUGUUUCUCGAAAGGUCUAGGUAAUUUAAGCUUGACAAUGAUCCCAAUUCAUGAGGUAUAUCCCCAGAAAGCCGAUUGUCCUUCAGAUCAAUUUUCAGAAGUAAAAUUAACUUCCCAAUUUCCUUUGGAAUCCCCCCGCAUAACUGGUUUGAAGAAAGAUCGAGUAUUUUUAUUUGACUUAAAUUUCCAAAUUCUGGAGGAAUGCUCCCUGAAAGGUUGUUCUUCGCUAUUUUCAGUGUUUCUAGUUGUUUGCUACUACCCCAAUUGUCAGAGAGUUCACCAUAGAAUUUAUUGUCACUUAGAUCCAUGAACAUCAAAUUUGGAUAGACACCGAAUUCUUCCGACAGAUUCCCAGAAAACUGGUUGUGAUCAAAUCGGGCUCUGGUUAAACUGGAGCAAUUUUUCAAGCUUUCGGGGAUUGGACCCCAAAGUCUAUUGUUAUCUACAGUAAAAUUUUGUAUUAACCCACCACCACAUAACUCUGGCAAAUGACCAGAAAACUGAUUUUCAUCCAUUUCCAGGACGACAAGUUUCUUCAGUUUUCCUAGUUCACUUGGAAUGGGACCGGAAAGUUGGUUCUGACGAAGGAACAAAUAUUCUAAAUUGCUCAGGUCACCUAAUGAAGCAGGGAUGGAUCCAGUUAGAUUAUUUUCGCUCAAUUCUAGUUCACCGAGAGAUUUCAAAUUCCCCAACUCUGGUGGGAUAGGACCAGAAAGGUUAUUAGCGUAGAGGUGCAGAGUGGUUAGACCCGUAGCUUUGCCUAAAGAGGCUGGGAUCAAACCUGUGAGAUUAUUAUAGUUUAAACUCAGGGUUUCAAGUGACUUUAGCUUCCCCAACUCAGGAGGGAUCGAACCAGAAAGUUUAUUUUUGAAAAGAUUCAAAAUUUGCAGCUGAUUCAAGUUCCCUAGAGUGGGAGCUAUGGGCCCCGUCAGCAUGUUGGUGUCCAUGUCAACCUCUAGAAGAUUGGAGAGAUUUCCCAUUUCAGGGGGUAUAAAUCCAGAAAGAGAAUUAUUAUAAAGAUACAAAAAGGUCAAGUUUCUCAAAUUGCCAAAAGAAACAGGAAUUGGACCAUCAAGUUUGUUACUGUACAAUGCAAGCUCACUUAGAGACACUAGUUGUCCUAUUUCGGAAGGAAUCGAGCCAUUAAGUUGAUUUUCAACCAAAUGAAGAGUUCGAAGACCAGUUAUUCGGCCUAUUUCUGAUGGGAUGGUUCCUGUAAGCUGAUUUGUGGAUAUAUCAAGAUAGAUGAGUUUGGAGAGUUUACCUAUUUGAGGUGGAAUGGUGCCAAAAAGUCGGUUGAUGCAGAAAUCGAUAUAAGCAAGAUUUGGGAGAGACGAGAAUGGAAACUUAUAGAGGGUGGCAUAAAUAUUUGCAUUUGUGAGGUUCAGCUUGUUGACACUUCCGUCGAUGCUGCAAAUAACUCCAAACCAAUUGCAAGGACUACCUCUUGCUUUUGGAUGAGUCCACGAAGUUAGAAUGGAAUUGUUCUCAUUUUUGAAAGUGGCUUUCCAUUUCAGUAGAGCAUUUGCUUCUGCAAAAGAAGCAGAAGCAGGUUUAAGACAAACAAAGAAGAGAAAAGGCAGGAACAAGAAAAAUGUAAAAAUGGGGUACUUCAACAUGGUUAUUAAACUGGGAUUUAGUUUGUGCUUG